UGGGGAAUAUUGCACAAUGGGGGAAACCCUGAUGCAGCGACGCCGCGUGGAGGAUGACGGCCCUCGGGUUGUAAACUCCUUUUGUCAGGGACAAUGGUGAUGGUACCUGACGAAUAAGCCACGGCUAACUCUGUGCCAGCAGCCGCGGUAAGACAGAGGUGGCGAGCGUUGUUCGGAAUUACUGGGCUUAAGGGCGCGUAGGCGGUGGUGUAAGUCUGGGGUGGAAUGCUACAGCUCAACUGUAGAGCUGCCUUGGAAACUGCAUUACUUGAGUCGGUGAGGGGAAGGCGGAAUUCCUGGUGUGGCGGUGAAAUGCGUAGAUAUCAGGAGGAAGGUCUGUGGCGAAGGCGGCCUUCUGGCACUUGACUGACGCUGAGGCGCGAAAGCGUGGGGAGCAAACAG
rnacentral:rRNA from 1 species